GAUGAACGCUGGCGGUAUGCCUAACACAUGCAAGUCGAACGAACCUUCGGGUUAGUGGCGGACGGGUGAGUAACGCGUGAGAAUCUGCCUCUUGGUUGGGGACAACAGUUGGAAACGACUGCUAAUACCCAAUGUGCCGCAAGGUGAAAGAUUUAUUGCCAAGAGAGGAGCUCGCGUCUGAUUAGCUAGUUGGUGGGGUAAAAAGCCUACCAAGGCAUCGAUCAGUAGCUGGUCUGAGAGGAUGAGCAGCCACACUGGGACUGAGACACGGCCCAGACUCCUACGGGAGGCAGCAGUGGGGAAUUUUCCGCAAUGGGCGAAAGCCUGACGGAGCAAUACCGCGUGAGGGA
rnacentral:rRNA from 1 species